CAGUACCGUUGGUUACAAACCAAACGUCUUAUCCACCACUCUCUCACAUCUCAUUGCCACCAAUUCUUUGCAAUUCAACAUUCCUUUUAUUCCAAUCCGAGAAAGGUUGAAAGAUAAAUUAGACGAGUUUUUCAAAUGUCAGUUUGAGCUCUUUAUCGAAUUCACAGGUUUAAUCAGUUGGAGUAGAGGAGCAAGCAUUGGAUGGCAUAAUGAUGAUAACCGGCCUUACCUUAAACAACGACAUUUUUCGGCUAGUGUUACUCAGUUAAACUCUCCUUAGACCACA